rnacentral:rRNA from 1 species
AUGUCGUGGACUUCCGGGGCUUCUUCCGCCCCCGGCUUCCGUCGCGCCAGUGGAAGGAGAGACAUGGAUUCGAGGUCUCCGGUCGCUUACAAGGAGAGCCCAAUGGCGUACGAGCCGCCAAAGUUGUGCCACUGCAGACAGCCACGGAAGGCGCCGAGAUGGAUCUCAUGGAGCCGUCAAAAUCCCGGCAGGAGGUACUACGUGUGCGUAGAUGCAAUGGUGAGCCCCAAUUUGAGUGCUCAUAUCCAUUCUCUUCUGCUCAUUUGUUGGUUUUGUCUGAAAUUGAUUGAUUUCUUGUUCUUGCCUCAUUUUUGUUGA